rnacentral:misc_RNA from 1 species
UUUAACAGAACUAUCGAUAGUCCCGCAGCUCCAGUGGCUUAGUGCCGUUGAAAAUUGUUGUACACAGUCAAGAUAUUGAUUUUUGCGAGCCGAGUGGAAAACGCGACCCCAGAGCCCCCGCCCCCUGCGCGCGACCAGUAGUAGUAGUAACGACUCACGGUCCUUCAAACAUUACGCAGCCCAAGGUUCUGGAAAAAAUCGAAGAUUACGAGCAGAGCAACAAAAAAAAAGGGGGCAGAACGUGCAGAGCAAGCGAAGCGAGUGAAAGUGCCCGCAGUAGUCAGCAAAAGUAGAACUCGAACUCGGGCUACAGUUCACCAAGCCAAUCCGAGUUUCCCCACUCGCAGCCUCCACUGAGCGAGCAGCAGAACCCCGGAAAGUAGCACCCCCAGCGGAGAAGGAACGGAGAAAAGUGCAGUCCGCCAACUGCGUCGAGCGCCCCAAGACCAAUUUAACCAGAGGAAGAAAACCAGAAGAGACAGCAGCAGCCAUGGCUUUCGCCGGACUCAAAAAGCAGAUCAACAAGGCCAACCAGUAUAUGACGGAGAAGAUGGGCGGUGCCGAGGGCACCAAACUGGACAUGGACUUCAUGGAGAUGGAACGAAAGACGGACGUCACCGUGGAGCUGGUGGAGGAGCUGCAGCUGAAGACGAAGGAGUUCCUGCAGCCGAAUCCGACGGCACGGGCCAAAAUGGCAGCGGUCAAGGGCAUCUCGAAGCUGUCCGGACAGGCCAAGUCCAAUACGUAUCCGCAACCGGAGGGCCUGCUCGCGGAAUGCAUGCUGACUUAUGGGAAGAAGCUCGGCGAGGACAACAGCGUGUUCGCGCAGGCGCUCGUCGAAUUCGGCGAAGCGCUGAAACAGAUGGCCGACGUCAAGUAUUCGCUGGACGACAACAUCAAGCAGAACUUUUUGGAGCCACUGCAUCAUAUGCAGACCAAAGACCUCAAGGAGGUAAUGCAUCAUCGCAAGAAGCUGCAGGGCCGGCGACUAGACUUCGACUGCAAGCGUCGCCGGCAGGCCAAGGACGAUGAGAUUCGUGGUGCCGAGGACAAGUUCGGUGAAUCGCUCCAGCUGGCCCAGGUGGGCAUGUUCAAUUUGCUCGAGAACGAUACGGAGCACGUCUCCCAGCUGGUCACCUUUGCCGAGGCACUAUACGAUUUUCAUUCGCAAUGCGCGGAUGUCCUUCGAGGCCUGCAGGAGACACUGCAGGAGAAGCGCUCCGAGGCGGAGAGCCGGCCACGCAACGAGUUCGUGCCCAAGACGCUGCUCGAUCUGAACUUGGACGGCGGUGGCGGCGGCCUCAACGAAGAUGGCACGCCGUCUCACAUUAGUUCGAGCGCCUCGCCGUUGCCCUCGCCGAUGCGCUCGCCCGCCAAGUCGAUGGCCGUAACGCCGCAGCGCCAGCAGCAGCCCUGCUGCCAGGCCCUCUACGACUUCGAGCCGGAGAAUCCCGGCGAACUGGCCUUCAAGGAGAACGACAUCAUCACCCUGUUGAAUCGCGUCGACGACAACUGGUUCGAGGGCGCGGUGAAUGGCCGCACCGGUUACUUCCCGCAGUCGUACGUUCAGGUGCAGGUGCCCCUGCCCAAUGGCAACUAGGCUGUUCCUCAUCCUGUUCCUCGUAUUGAUCCCGAACCCGGACUCCCAUCCCCUAAACCAAUCCCAUCCUAUCAAACUGGCUGAAGACAGGCGCGAAAUUGGGCAGCCGAAGCCGAUGCAGAUGCAGAAGCAGCAGCAGCAGAAGCAGCACAUAAAUGCAAAUAUAUAUAUAUAGUUGAAUUAGAUGAGCGGGUUACUACGAUUACGGAUAUUACGAUACGGCUUAGCUAGCACACAGCAGGCUAAAUUCAUGGUGGCCAUAGAGCAAGCUAACUAAAUUUUAUGUGCAAAAUUAUACCAGUUGGCAACACAAUAAUUAACAAAUUAACUACGAGUUAAAUUAAUGUAAUGUAUUAACUAACUAAAUUUACAAGAUGUUACGCGCGCAAUGCCA